UGGUUGGUUGGUUUGCGCCAACUUAAACAUUUUGCAAUAACUUUUGCUAUAUUGAAUAUAGCAACUUGAUAUUUGGCAUGCAUGAGUAUCUCAUGGAGCUGCACAUUUUGAGUGGUGAAAGGUCAGAGGUCAAAUAUAUGUGGCCUAAAUUGCUCAUUUUAUGAAUACUUUUGCAAUAUUGAAGAUAGCAACUCGAUAUUUGGCAUGCAUGUGUAUCUCAUGGAGCUGCACAUUUUGAGUGGUGAAAGGUCAAAGUCAAGGUCAUCCUUCAAGGUCAGAGGUAAAACAUAUUUGUCCCAAAUCGCUUAUUUUAUUAAUACUUUUGAAAUAUUGAAGAUAGCAACUUGAUAUUUGGCAUGCAUGUGUAUCUCAUGGAGCUGCACAAUUUGAGUGGUGAAAGGUCAAGGUCAUCCUUCAAGGUCAAGGUCAUCCUUAAAGGUCAAAUAUAUGGGUCAAAAUUGCUCAUGUAAUGUCACUUCUGCAAUAUUGAAGCUAGCAAUUUUAUAUUUGAAAUGCAUGUGUAUCUCAUGGAGCUGCACAUUUUGAGUGGUGAAGGGUCAAGGUCAUCCUUCAAGGUCAAACAUUAUUUAGGGGGACAUUGUGUUUCACAAACGCAUCUUGUUUCAAAUUAUCUUUAUUCAACAACAUUUUGUAUAACGAUAAAACAACUCACUCUUAGAGAUACGUCUAGUAGUGAUGCACUGCUUUCAACCAACAAACCAUCUGCCUCGUUCUCGAAACUCAAGUCUGGUGAACGGUUAUCUGACAUUUCCUCAGUUUCUGGUGUGGAAUUCGUCUCAUCUGCUUCAGGGCCAUUUUCCAGAGUCUGUAAGGUAAACAAAUAAAAUUAAAUCAGCACAUCAAAGACCUAGAAAUACACAUACUUUUUCAAACUAACAUGAAAGAAUGAUGUUCAGAUACGUAAUAUUUAUGCUUCUGUAUCAUGUUGUAAACACCGUCAGAUUCUAUACCGAUAGAGUAACUGACCCAUGUUCAUUCUUGAAACCUCGUAUAGCCUAGUGGCAACAUAUCCGCUUCAAAAUAUCAGAUACCAUUGGUUCGAUCCUCGGCUGUGAGCUACAUAAAAUAAAUCAUGAACUGUGCCAUGGGUAUGUCUGCCAUUAUCCCAUGCUUGAUUGUACCACAAGGAAUCACUGAUUUGAAUAGUAAGCUCGAUUUAAUAAUCCAUCGGAAUCGUUUUAAGGUGAUAAUCUGAUUACACGCAGUGCGCAAUCUGAUUAUGUGAUGACUUAAAUUAGUAUAAGUAUUAA